UACAGAGGUCUCAAGCGUUGUUCGGAUUCAUUGGGCGUAAAGGGUGCGUAGGCGGCGCGGUAAGUCGGGUGUGAAAUUUCGAGGCUUAACUUCGAAACUGCAUUCGAUACUGCCGUGCUAGAGGACUGGAGAGGAGACUGGAAUUUACGGUGUAGCGGUGAAAUGCGUAGAUAUCGUAAGGAAGACCAGUGGCGAAGGCGGGUCUCUGGACAGUUCCUGACGCUCAGGUGCGAAAGCUAGGGGAGCGAACAGG
rnacentral:rRNA from 1 species